rnacentral:rRNA from 1 species
GCUACUCAUAAAAGAAUUUAAGUUCAACUUUAGGUUUUUAUAAGACUUCUUAAACUUUUCCUUCUCAACCUAAAGAAAUUCAAUAGGGGUACAGCCCUAUUGAACCGGGAUACAACCCGAACCGAGAGACUUCCUUAUUUUCCCUUUUAGUAGGCCUCAAAGCAGCCACCAAAAACUGCGUUACAGCACAAACAAAAUAAUUUCAACAACCCAUACAUCCUCCCGAUAUAGUCUGAGUUAUUCUAUACCAAAAUAGAAGCACCAAUGCUAAAAUUAGUAAUAAGAAAUAAUUAUUUCUCUUUGCACCCUCUUGAAUCAGAACAGAAAAACUACUGAUACUUAACAAAAACCAACCCCCUUCUCAUACCAGCUAAAAUGUUGACUCAACAUUGUCACCCCAACACAGGUGUGCAAAAAAGAAAGGUAAAAAGCCGUAAAAGGAACUCGGCAAUAUAUUGUCCCAACUGUUUACCAAAAACAUAGCCUUUAGCUUUACAAGUAUUAAAGGUUCCGCCUGCCCAGUGACUCUUUAAACGGCCGCGGUAUCCUA